UAGGCAGAGGCCGCGGCGUCCCGCCAGAUCCAGAGGCCGCGGCGGUGGUCUCGGCCGCGGAGGCGGGGGUGGGAGUGAGGGAGGUGGAGAGAGGUGGCGGGGGCGGCCUCAUGGUAGAAGCGGCGGGGCUCGGGCUCCGCCUCCGGGAAAGACGGCGGGAGGGAGGGGUGCGCUAGGUGAGCCGCCGCCGCGGCUCGCUAGCUUGUUUAAGCCAUCGCGGCUGCGCAAUGUCGGCGGCUCUAGCUACCCGAGAGACCUCGGAAAGUUGUCCGACCACUCCGACUGCCGCGCGCGGAAGAUGCUGCUGUAGAGGUAGUUCCCGCUGUGGGUCCGGUUCUGGAGGGCGCCGCUGUUGGCCCCGUACCGGCAGCAGCAGGAGCUGCCGGAGUGGUCUGCGGUCACCCAGGCGCUCCUUCUGAACCGAUUUAGUAAUUUCGAGGUGAGUUUUGUUGAAGCGGCACAGGAGGCUAAGAAACUUCUUCUCUUCGAUCACUGUUCCCUAGUGUCUUUCCUCAGUCGUUUUCCACGUUUUUAUAUAUCACGACGUCGUCGUCGACGUCCACUACCAGUUGGGUGCUUCCUCCCUCUUCUUUUUCAUUUCGACGUGUGUGUAAGGAUGACAACGAACCUGAUACGUGUCUAGACACUACAACAUGCCAUGGCCUAUGUGGCGUACUUUUUUUGCAACUUCCUACUUAACCUGUCGUCUUUAUGUCAAGUUGUGAUAUAUACAGGAUUGACAUUUUUCUCCAUGAGCCGGAAGCUACGCAACGUUGAAUAUUCGAUGUGCCUGCUCAUAAAGGUAACACUUUUAACGUUGCCGCUUGAUGAACGUCUCUCACUGUUCGAAAGAAGACUCCUUUACCCUCUACCACUACUAUUACGUGCCUUCGCAGCCGCACUCUUUGACUUACUAUACGUCGUUUCUUAACUACUCGUUAACUUCGGUAACGUUCGUGUUGAAUUCUCCCACUUCCUAGAAGGACGAGGACUCAAACCCUCAGAUGUUAGUACCCUUUCUGAUUUAGAACCACGAAAGCGCGUACCACUAAGACGACGUCGACUCCGUCGGUCCUUACGUGUUCCCGUCAUAUUACCAUGUGGCUACGGAAUAGAACCUCUAUGUUUCCAACUACAACUUAACCGACCAAGCCCACAUUUUCGUCUUCCACUACUUAGACCGUCUCUACCAAGUCGUAACUUUCAGAAUGGAGGUACCUACCAGUCUCUUCCCUACUUAGAAUGUUUUCUUGUUUCUCCUCUCAGGUCAUUGUGUAGUUUUCCUCUACUUUUUAGUCUUCAGUUUCUACUCUUCUUUGUCCUGAGUUUUCUUCUACUCUUCUCAAAUGUCCUACUUAUGGAAUUCCGUAUAAUACUCCGGGAGUUCUUUUCUGUCCUCCUCCUUCUACGUUUCUCUUACGUCGUCCUUCCGGUCCGUAAAAGAAGACUUUAAGUAAGACUCGCCGUCCACCCGUACUUUCGGUUUGCACUCCUACUCUUACCACUCCUACUCCCACAACUUACCCUUCUCCUCGUUGGACGUCCCUUAUGUAGCCUCCUCGGUAUAUUCAAACACCUAAACUUACGACUCCGGGGUCUUAGACCGCUGCUGCUCCUUCUACUCUAACUGACCCUUCUUCCAACUUCAUGUCGCCGUUCAACGAGGCAGAACUUAAGUACUUCAGUCAAGUUUCACCCUACAAUUUACUAUUAUUAUAACGGUCUACAUACGUAAAGGUCCGAACCGACGUUUAUUGUAAAAAGAGGGUCUAAACACUUUUCAGUGAUAUUACACUUCAAACUAUAACUGCUGCAUACUAUAACUGUAGGUACACUGCAAUUCCUUAACUUUUCUUAAACUUUCUCGAACAUGGGAAAAUCGGGA
rnacentral:rRNA from 1 species